GAUGAACGCUAGCGACAGGCCUAACACAUGCAAGUCGAGGGGCAGCACAUGAGUAGCAAUACGAUGGUGGCGACCGGCGCACGGGUGAGUAACACGUAUGCAACCUGCCUGUAAGAGGGGGAUAACCCGGAGAAAUUCGGACUAAUACCGCAUAAUACCACGAGACUGCAUGGUUUUGUGGUUAAACAUUUAUGGCUUACAGAUGGGCAUGCGUAUGAUUAGAUAGUUGGUAGGGUAACGGCCUACCAAGUCUACGAUCAUUAGGGGUUCUGAGAGGAAGGUCCCCCACACUGGUACUGAGACACGGACCAGACUCCUACGGGAGGCAGCAGUGAGGAAUAUUGGUCAAUGGGCGAGAGCCUGAACCAGCCAAGUCGCGUGAAGGAAGAAGGUUCUAUGGAUUGUAAACUUCUUUUGCAGGGGAAUAAAGGACGGUACGUGUACUGUUUUGUAUGUACCUUGCGAAUAAGGAUCGGCUAACUCCGUG
rnacentral:rRNA from 1 species